rnacentral:rRNA from 1 species
UCUAUACCGUGAAACUGCGAAUGGCUCAUUAAAUCAGUUAUCGUUUAUUUGAUAGUACCUUACUACUUGGAUAACCGUGGUAAUUCUAGAGCUAAUACAUGCUAAAAACCUCGACUUCGGGAGGGGUGUAUUUAUUAGAUAAAAAACCAAUGCCCUCCGGGGCUCCUUGGUGAUUCAUAAUAACUUAACGAAUCGCAGAGCCUUGCGCUGGCGAUGGUUCAUUCAAAUUUCUGCCCUAUCAACUUUCGAUGGUAGGAUAGUGGCCUACCAUGGUUUCAACGGGUAACGGGGAAUUAGGGUUCUAUUCCGGAGAGGGAGCCUGAGAAACGGCUACCACAUCCAAGGAAGGCAGCAGGCGCGCAAAUUACCCAAUCCCGAUUCGGGGAGGUAGUGACAAUAAAUACUGAUACAGGGCUCUUUUGGGUCUUGUAAUUGGAAUGAGUACAAUUUAAAUCCCUUAACGAGGAACAAUUGGAGGGCAAGUCUGGUGCCAGCAGCCGCGGUAAUUCCAGCUCCAAUAGCGUAUAUUAAAGUUGUUGCAGUUAAAAAGCUCGUAGUUGAACCUUGGGCCUGGCUGGCCGGUCCGCCUCACCGCGUGCACUGGUCCGGCCGGGUCUUUCCUUCUGGGGAGCCGCAUGCCCUUCACUGGGUGUGCCGGGGAACCAGGACUUUUACUUUGAAAAAAUUAGAGUGUUCAAAGCAGGCCUAUGCUCGAAUACAUUAGCAUGGAAUAAUAAAACAGGACGAGCAGUUCUAUUUUGUUGGUUUCUAGGACCGCCGUAAUGAUUAAUAGGGAUAGUCGGGGGCAUCAGUAUUCAAUUGUCAGAGGUGAAAUUCUUGGAUUUAUUGAAGACUAACUACUGCGAAAGCAUUUGCCAAGGAUGUUUUCAUUAAUCAGUGAACGAAAGUUAGGGGAUCGAAGACGAUCARAUACCGUCGUAGUCUUAACCAUAAACUAUGCCGACUAGGGAUCGGGCGAUGUUAUUUUUUUGACUUGCUCGGCACCUUACGAGAAAUCAAAG